rnacentral:rRNA from 1 species
GACGAACGCUGGCGGCGUGCCUAAUACAUGCAAGUCGAGCGCAGGAAGCCGACGGAACCCUUCGGGGGGAAGUCGACGGAAUGAGCGGCGGACGGGUGAGUAACACGUAAAGAACCUGCCCUCAGGUCUGGGAUAACCACGAGAAAUCGGGGCUAAUACCGGAUGGGUCAUCGGACCGCAUGGUCCGAGGAUGAAAGGCGCUUCGGCGUCGCCUGGGGAUGGCUUUGCGGUGCAUUAGCUAGUUGGUGGGGUAAUGGCCCACCAAGGCGACGAUGCAUAGCCGACCUGAGAGGGUGAUCGGCCACACUGGGACUGAGACACGGCCCAGACUCCUACGGGAGGCAGCAGUAGGGAAUCUUCCACAAUGGACGAAAGUCUGAUGGAGCAACGCCGCGUGAACGAUGAAGGCCUUCGGGUCGUAAAGUUCUGUUGUAAGGGAAGAACAAGUGCCGCAGGCAAUGGCGGCACCUUGACGGUACCUUGCGAGAAAGCCACGGCUAACUACGUGCCAGCAGCCGCGGUAACAC